rnacentral:rRNA from 1 species
UACGGAGGGAGCUAGCGUUGUUCGGAAUUACUGGGCGUAAAGCGCACGUAGGCGGCUUUGUAAGUUAGAGGUGAAAGCCCGGGGCUCAACCCCGGAAUUGCCUUUAAGACUGCAUCGCUUGAAUCCGGGAGAGGUGAGUGGAAUUCCGAGUGUAGAGGUGAAAUUCGUAGAUAUUCGGAAGAACACCAGUGGCGAAGGCGGCGCACUGGCCAGUUACUGACGCUCAGGCGCGACAGCGUGGGGAGCAAACAGG